rnacentral:rRNA from 1 species
GAUGAACGCUAGCGGCAGGCUUAAUACAUGCAAGUCGAACGGUAAGGUCUCUUCGGAGAUACACGAGUGGCGCACGGGUGCGUAACGCGUAUGCAACCUACCUUUAACUGGGAACUAGCCCCGAGAAAUCGGGAUUAAUGUUCCAUAUUAUUCUUUAAAUGCAUAUUUGAAGAAUGAAAGCUCCGGCGGUUAUUGAUGGGCAUGCGUGACAUUAGCUAGUUGGUGAGGUAACGGCUCACCAAGGCAACGAUGUCUAGGGGUCCUGAGAGGGUUAACCCCCACACUGGUACUGAGACACGGACCAGACUCCUACGGGAGGCAGCAGUAAGGAAUAUUGGGCAAUGGACGCAAGUCUGACCCAGCCAUGCCGCGUGAAGGAUGAAUGUCCUAUGGAUUGUAAACUUCUUUUAUGCAGGAAAAACAUCCCGGUCGAGAACCGGGACUGAUGGUACUGUAUGAAUAAGCAUCGGCUAACUCCGUGCCAGCAGCCGCCGCGGUAA